rnacentral:snRNA from 1 species
GGAUGUGAGGACGAUCUGGCUGUGACAUCUGUCAUCCCAUUGAUUGCCAGGUUUUAUUUUGGCUGAUCUGGCUGACUAGGUGGGUGUCCCCUUCCUCCCUCACUGCUCC